rnacentral:tRNA from 1 species
UGUCGUCCUGGGCGGGGUGUUCGCGCUGCUGCCGGGCCGGGGCGGGGAGGCCGGGCCGCCCGCGCUCGGGCCCGCCGGGCGGGCGGUGGCC